rnacentral:rRNA from 1 species
UACGUAGGGGGCAAGCGUUGUCCGGAAUCAUUGGGCGUAAAGCGCGUGUAGGCGGCCAGGUAAGUCCGUUCUGAAAGCCCGGGGCUCAACCCCGGGAGGCGGAUGGAUACUGCUUGGCUCGAGUCCGGAAGAGGCGAGUGGAAUUCCCGGUGUAGCGGUGAAAUGCGCAGAUAUCGGGAGGAACACCAAUGGCGAAGGCAGCUCGCUGGGACGGUACUGACGCUAAAGCGCGACAGCAUGGGGAGCAAACGGG